UUACGGCCAUAUCACGUUGAAACGCUGUUUCCCGUAGAAUCACCGAAGUUAAGCAACGCCGAGCCUGGUCAAUUCCUAGAUGGGUGACCGCUUGGAAACACCAGGUACUGUAAG